rnacentral:lncRNA from 14 species
AUGCACUCUCCAUGCCAUUGUCCCUGUGCCAUGCUCCCUGCACUAUAUUCCCUGCACUAUGGUGCCCAUGCCAUAGUCCCUGUGCCGUAUUCCCUGUGCCAUGCCCCCUACAGCCCCACAUCUCCUCGCAGUGGACUGCCUGUGGUCCCCAUGGUCACCCUGGUCCCCCUGCUCAGUGGGACGGGUGAGCAGCAUUCCCAGUAUCACCUGCUCUGGCAGUGCCAGCAUGCAGGAGCAGAGUGCCAGGGGUCUACCAUGUGCCAUAGCCCCUGCAGCCUCCCCCCUGCCAUGAGUGCCCCUGGCUCUGCUCCCUGCCCUGGGCACGCCGAGGCACCAUCCUGCACCACACGGCACCAGUGCCAUGUCCCUGUGCCACACGCAGCCUGUCCUGCUGGUGAGCGCUGGCAGGGCCCUGAUGUGCUGGAUGGCUGUGAUCGGAGCUGCGGGGACAUUGCGGAGCCCCGGCACAACUGCAGCAUCCCCCCGGCCCCCGGCUGUGCCUGCCAGCCCGGGCACUACCGCAACAGCACCGGACACUGCGUCCUGGCCGCUCUCUGCCGGCAGCUUGUGGCAGGAUGGGUGUGAGAUGUGCCGCUGCCAGGAUGGGAGAGUAACCUGUGCUGCUGGCUGUGCCCCACUGGCCUGCCCUGAGGUGUGGGGGGUCAGAUAUGGGAGGGACACGUUGAGAGGGAGAUACAUGAGAAGAGGGGAUGUGUGUUGGGAUGGGACAUGUGGGGAGAAG